rnacentral:lncRNA from 1 species
AGUAUAUUUAUUAAAGAAGUGUCAUGACAUCGUGGCUUAAAGAAGAUUAGACUUCCAAAUCUGGAUUCCGGUUAUAGUAUAGAAGCAACCUUAGAACUUGGUAGAUGAGUUGCAACCUGGAACCUAUAGUGGGAUUAGUGGUGGAGAGAUUAUGAAAUCUAAAGAAAAAGAAUCGUAGUUUUAAUCCAGUCUUGGAAUAUAUCCAAUGUCGAGCUUCC